UACGUAGGGACCAAGCGUUGUUCGGAUUUACUGGGCGUAAAGGGCGCGUAGGCGGCAAUUCAAGUCAUCUGUGAAAUCUCCGGGCUUAACUCGGAACGGUCAGAUGAUACUGCUUUGCUAGAGUGCGGAAGGGGCAAUCGGAAUUCUCGGUGUAGCGGUGAAAUGCGUAGAUAUCGGGAGGAACACCGGUGGCGAAGGCGGCGACCUGGGUAGAUACUGACGCUGAGGUGCGAAAGCGUGGGGAGCAAACAGG
rnacentral:rRNA from 1 species